AUUGAACGCUGGCGGCAGGCUUAACACAUGCAAGUCGAGCGAGCGGCGGCCGGGUGAGUAAUGUCUGGGAAACUGCCCGAUGGAGGGGGAUAACUACUGGAAACGGUAGCUAAUACCGCAUACCAUCAGAUGUGCCCAGAUGGGAUUAGCUAGUAGGUGGGGUAAUGGCUCACCUAGGCGACGAUCGCUAGCUGGUCUGAGAGGAUGACCAGCCACACUGGGACUGAGACACGGCCCAGACUCCUACGGGAGGCAGCAGUGGGGAAUAUUGCACAAUGGGCGCAAGCCUGAUACAGCCAUGCCGCGUGUAUGAAGAAGGCCUUAGGGUUGUAAAGCACUUUCAGCGAGGAGGCGUUACUCGCAGAAGAAGCACCGGCUAACUCCGUGCCAGCAGCCGCGGUAAUAC
rnacentral:rRNA from 1 species